CCUACGGGGGCCAGCAGUGGGGAAUAUUGCACAAUGGGCGCAAGCCUGAUGCAGCCAUGCCGCGUGUGUGAAGAAGGCCUUCGGGUUGUAAAGCACUUUCAGCGGGGAGGAAGGCGUUAAGGUUAAUAACCUUGUCGAUUGACGUACCCGCAGAAGAAGCACCGGCUAACUCCGUGCCAGCAGCCGCGGUAAUACGGAGGGUGCAAGCGUUAAUCGGAAUUACUGGGCGUAAAGCGCACGCAGGCGGUCUGUCAAGUCGGAUGUGAAAUCCCCGGGCUCAACCUGGGAACUGCAUUCGAAACUGGCAGGCUAGAGUCUUGUAGAGGGGGGUAGAAUUCCAGGUGUAGCGGUGAAAUGCGUAGAGAUCUGGAGGAAUACCGGUGGCGAAGGCGGCCCCCUGGACAAAGACUGACGCUCAGGUGCGAAAGCGUGGGGAGCAAACAGGAUUAGAUACCCCGGUAGUC
rnacentral:rRNA from 1 species